rnacentral:rRNA from 1 species
GAUGAACGCUGGCGGCGUGCCUAAUACAUGCAAGUCGAGCGAACGGACGAGAAGCUUGCUCCUCUGACGUUAGCGGCGGACGGGUGAGUAACACGUGGAUAACCUACCUAUAAGACUGGGAUAACUUCGGGAAACCGGAGCUAAUACCGGAUAAUAUAUUGAACCGCAUGGUUCAAUAGUGAAAGACGGUCUUGCUGUCACUUAUAGAUGGAUCCGCGCCGCAUUAGCUAGUUGGUAAGGUAACGGCUUACCAAGGCAACGAUGCGUAGCCGACCUGAGAGGGUGAUCGGCCACACUGGAACUGAGACACGGUCCAGACUCCUACGGGAGGCAGCAGUAGGGAAUCUUCCGCAAUGGGCGAAAGCCUGACGGAGCAACGCCGCGUGAGUGAUGAAGGUCUUCGGAUCGUAAAACUCUGUUAUUAGGGAAGAACAAAUGUGUAAGUAACUGUGCACAUCUUGACGGUACCUAAUCAGAAAGCCACGGCUAACUACGUG